UUCUCUCAUUUUGCAUGCUCAAGAGUUAAUUAGUUGAUGAUAUUUAUGAUGAAUAUUAAUUCAAACCCAUAACGCCCCAGCACGUCUAAGCAUGAGUAAAUUCCGAGUGAAAAACAUGACCAAAGUGAAGACACGAAUUGAAUUCAGUGUGUUCUUCAAGCAGAGUCAAUUCCGACAGAAAUAUAUGAGCAGACGAGGACACAUGUUUCAAAAUUAAACCACAUGCCGACAAUACACAAAAUUUCUCAGUAAACAACCAUCAAAACCCACAAAAUUAAGAAAAGAACCCACAAACAUGCAGAGCCAAACCUGAGAUAAGAAGCUCAAGAUAUAAUUUUUCCAAGACACAAAAAUGCUGAAUUUUGCUCAUAAUAAACCGCAGAUUUAUUAUUUGUUCACUGGUUUU
rnacentral:misc_RNA from 1 species